GUAGUCUGCCAUACGCAGGAAGACCCGCUGAACUGAAGCAUCUCAUUAAGCGGAGGAAAAGAAACUAACUAGGAUUCCCUUAGUAAAGGCGAUCGAAAAGGGAACAGCCCAACGUCUUAAUCCCGCAAGGGAAAUGUAGUCGGUUCACCUAUUGCACUGGUCUAAGUCAGAUGGAAUGCUGCGCGAUUCAGAGUAAAAGCCUCGUAUGACCAACCGCAAGCUUACGAUGGACCGGGGAGAGUCGGAUACUUUGAGAGUAGUGUCUUAAGGGGGUGGUAUGUCCCAUCCAAGGCUAAAUAACGUGAGGAGACUCGAUAGAUUACAAGUAGUGUGAACGAAAGAUGAAAAGAACUCUA
rfam:Trichomonas vaginalis G3, whole genome shotgun sequence.